ACUGGCUAUACUUCAUCCAUGAAAUCUAUUUAAUCCAACUCUCGGUAUCACUCUGUCUUAAACUUCUAGUAAUCACUCUAUAUUGGAUUGCAUCUACAACUUGACGUCGACUUAUAAUUGUUUAUUCGUUGUUUUUUUAUAACUAUGACUCUUCGCAAUUACUCACUAAAUUAAGCCUUGUCAUUAACUUAGGUAUUUAUAGAAACUAAGUUUUAGCCUUUGUUAACAGACAAUUCGA
rnacentral:misc_RNA from 1 species